AGAGAUAUAUAUUGAGUGGGACCCAUAGAGGGUAUCUCUUUGAAGAGAUAUACAAGAACUUGGUACUUUCUUUGUUUUCUGCUCAAGAAAAACGUAAGAAUUUUGUAACUUUGUAUUUAUUUUGGACGAGAAAAAAAUGGUGUGUUCUUCGGGAGCUUAAGCCAACAAUUUAUUUUUCUCUUUCUACUUAUAACUACGAACUGCCGCAUCAAUUUAAAGGUUUCACUCUGCACAAAUUUCUCUCAAGGUUUUUAAAGUAAACUGAAGGUUUCUUCGUAAUGAAGUAAGGCGGAGGGAAGCUUUUAUGAAAGCGAACCAAGUACAAUUCCUCGUCUAUGACCUUUUAUGAGCUCAUAUGAAUGUCAAAGGUUCAGAUAGGCAGCUGGAGAGAUCGACCCAGUAGAUUUGACGAGUACCAGCCAGCGUGGUAAGCUCCAUGUGAUUCGGAGUUACCCAGUCCAAAGUUUUGUGUAUGUAUAGAUGAUGGGUAGGUCGGGGUCCUGUCCCGACCAUAGUACACUCAUUACUCUUUAGAGGCUUGUAGACCUAUCCUGUAUGUUAUGUAUGUCAGUGUGGCGGCCUCGUCGGCCUGCACAGGUUUAUACAUAUACAUUUUGGGUGUGCUUACCCUUUAGACGAGAUUGAUGUUAUGUUCAGAUGAUUCA